GAACAAUUACAGGUGUACCUCCAAGUGCACCUGCCGAGGAUGUGAGAAUAGACCUGCGGCUAAAGGGAAAGAGGCUAAGGACCCAGACACGGGCUCUGUCAUGAACGAACUACCAGAAGAGGCUAAGGAGCCGGCGCAGAAGGAAGAACAAUCCAAAGAACCUCGGGAGAACAGGGGCCCCGGCAGGAUAAAACGACCACGAAACAAGAAAUGAUGACAGUCGUCAGUUCAGUCACCUUUUGUGUAGUGAUGAUCAUAGUCUUCAGUUCAGAGGAUGUCACCUUCAGUGCACUGAUGAUGUCAGCAGUGGUCUUCAGUUCAAAGCAUGCCGCCUUACCACCCUGAACACGCCGUCCAUUCUCUGUUCAAAUAUGCCACUUCCUGUCAUUUGAAUAUGGGAUUGUAAAAAUGAAUUGGUUCUCGUCUCCUUGAAACGAUAGUUCGGACCUUGGCGAGCCACGGCGAUGACAGUUAGCUUCAGGUGGAUCUAAACUUUGAUCAAACUGAUGUAGCUUCAGCGGCUUCAGUUGACCCAGUUCUUGAUAAAAACUGAUAUAGUAUAUAGUUCAGAACAUAUA